rnacentral:rRNA from 1 species
AGAGUUUGAUCCUGGCUCAGGAUGAACGCUGGCGGCGUGCCUAACACAUGCAAGUCGAGCGAGAAGUUUGAAAAAUGAGUUUUCGAACAAGUGAUUCAAACGGAAAGCGGCGGACGGGUGAGUAACGCGUAGGCAACCUGCCCCGUGCAGAGGGACAGCCUCGGGAAACCGGGAUUAAGACCUCAUGAUAUCGGGUUAUCACAUGGUAAUCCGGUCAAAGAUUUAUCGGCAUGGGAUGGGCCUGCGUCUGAUUAGCUGGUUGGUGGGGUAACGGCCUACCAAGGCGACGAUCAGUAGCAGAACUGAGAGGUUCAUCUGCCACAUUGGAACUGAGACACGGUCCAAACUCCUACGGGAGGCAGCAGUGAGGAAUAUUGCACAAUGGGCGAAAGCCUGAUGCAGCAACGCCGCGUGAGCGAAGAAGGCCUUUGGGUCGUAAAGCUCUGUCCUUGGGGAAGAAACAAAUGACGGUACCCUUGGAGGAAGCCCCGGCUAACUACGUGCCAGCAGCCGCGGUAAUACGUAGGGGGCGAGCGUUAUCCGGAAUUAUUGGGCGUAAAGAGUGCGUAGGUGGUCUUGUAAGCGUGGGGUGAAAGGCAGUGGCUUAACCAUUGUUAGCCUUGCGAACUGUGAGACUUGAGUGCAGGAGAGGAAAGCGGAAUUCCUAGUGUAGCGGUGAAAUGCGUAGAUAUUAGGAGGAACACCAGUGGCGAAGGCGGCUUUCUGGACUGUAACUGACACUGAGGCACGAAAGCGUGGGGAGCAAACAGGAUUAGAUACCCUGGUAGUCCACGCCGUAAACGAUGAG